GAGGAGCAGAGUUACUAUCAGUGAUUUCACGCCGGUGGUAGAGAGCAAACUUGCAAAAAAUCCUCCUGAAAACUUGGCCAUUGACCACAGAAAAACCUGUUCCCUUAUCCUCCCCUUUUGACCCUGUGAAGGAGGGGAAAAAAAGAGCAAGCCUGCAUUUUCCCACUCUUAAAAGUAAGGGUGUUUGAAGGUAGACUGUUUUGAGCCUGAAUUCUAAAUAGCACUGUUCAUCAUCAGCCUUUGUGUGCUUCCAAAAACAUCCUUUCCGUGGUGUGCUGUGACAGCCUGUACAGGGCACAGCCCCUUUAAAAGGCAGAAGGGUGCGAUUUUUUAAAAUUAACCAACUACUGAAAUGGAGCAAAAUGCAUGUGGCUCUGAAGCUCCCCUUUCCAGAGCGUACCUUGCCUUUUCCCUGCAGGGCUGGCAGAUGUGGCUGAGGCCCCCUUACCCUGGAGCUAUGACCCCCCACCUGGGGCUUUGCUGCUGCCUCUGCCCCGAUUUAAAGCUGGGGGAUGAGUGUGGAGCCCAGGUUUUGCAAGCAUUUGUUGCCUGAAGAACUGAUGAGCUGCCUUGGGCAUACUGCUGGGCCCUCACAACUGUGCUGCUUUGAGCCUAAAGCCCUUAAGAUCAGGGUGGUUGGGGCUGGAAGGAACCUCUGGAGGUCAUCUUGUACAACCCACUCCUGCUUAAGUGGAGCCCACCUAAAACCAGUUGCUUUGUACCACAUCCAGAUGCCUUUUUGAAUAUCUCCAAGGAUGGAGGCUCCACAACUUCUCUGUGCAACCUCUGCCAAUGCUCUGUCACCAUCACAGUAAAAAUGUGUUCCUGAUGUUCAGAGGGAACAUCCUGUGUUUCAUUGUGCCUCUGGUCCUGGCACUGGGCACCACUGAAAAAAAGCAUAUACAUUAGCAAUAUGUACACCACCACCCUGGAUCCCAAACCUUCUCCUUCCAGGCUGAACAGUCCCAGCUCUCUCAGCCUUUCCUCAUAGGAGAGAUGCUCCAGUCCCUUCAUCGUAUUAGUGGUUGUUUAGUGGACUCUCUCCAGUAUGUCCAUGUCUCUUUCUGGGAGACUCUGAACUGGAUACAGCACUCAGGUGUGGCCUCACUGGUGCUGGGUAGAAGGGAAGGAUCACCUCUCCCAGUCUGCUGGCAGCACACCUCCUAACACAGCCCAGGAACCAGGCCAGAAGGGCAUGCUGCUGGCUCACAGUCAACUUGGUGUCCACUACAACCCCCAGCGCCUUCUUUGCAAAGCUGCUUUCCAGCCAAACACCCCCCAGCAUAUACUGGUGCCUGGGGUUGUUCCUCCCCAGGCACAGGCCUUGACUUACCCUUCACGAGGUCCCUCUCAGCCCAUUUCUCCAGCAUGUCGCGGUCCCUCUGGACGGCAGCACGACCAUCCGUCACAUCAGCCACUCAUCCCCAUUUGGAGUCACCUGCAAACUCACCGAGAGUAGCCUCUGCCCCGUGUCCCACAUUGUUAAUGAAAAUGCUAACCAGGACCGGACCCAGCAUUGACCCCUGGGGCACACCACUGGUUACCACCUCUGGCUAGGCUUUGUGCCGCUGACCACCAUUCCCCCAACACAGUCAUUCAGCCACUUUUAAUCCACCUCACUGCUCAUCCAGCCCCUACUUUCACUAGUGGGUCCAGUUGUACCCUGGCUUAUCUUUUGUCACUUUUGCACUUACAGGAGCCCCUCUAGUCUUUAACAUCCCUUGCCAAAUAAAAUUGCAGCUGUGCUUUGGCUUUCAUACCUUCA